rnacentral:tRNA from 1 species
GGUCCUAUGGUGUAAUGGUUAGCACUCUGGACUCUGAAUCCAGCGAUCUGAGUUCAAAUCUCAGUAGGACCU